CCCCCUUGGCCCAUUGGUUGACCAAGGGUUAAUUAAUGCUUCUACACCAAGAGGUCUGGGGUUCGAGUCCCAGAUAUUGCGAUUUAUUAAUAAAUUUGCAGAUUAAAGGAGGCAAGUGUGCAGGAGAUCUCCAGCGAAGUACAAUUAUAGCCGUUCGCCAGGAUUCUACGCCGAGAGAGAAGUGUCGUCAGGUCAUGGAUCAUUGAAGGUGUCCGUCAAGAGAGUGGAGAAUGAAGUGUCGUCUGUCGUGGAUCUAAUAAGGGUCGGAAGGAAUUGUCCGUUGUAGAAUCGUCUAUGUAACAGUUCUCAUAAUUUGCAAUAAAUAAUAAAUCUAGACGUCAAAAAAAAAAAGAUAAAUAUAAGGAUUAUUUUG
rnacentral:lncRNA from 1 species